rnacentral:rRNA from 1 species
ACCUACGGGAGGCAGCAGUGAGGAAUAUUGGUCAAUGGGCGGGAGCCUGAACCAGCCAAGUCGCGUGAGGGAAGACGGUCCUAUGGAUUGUAAACCUCUUUUGUCGGGGAGCAAAGAGGCCACGUGUGGUCAAAAGCGAGAGUACCCGAAGAAAAAGCAUCGGCUAACUCCGUGCCAGAAGCCGCAGUAAUACGGAGGAUGCGAGCGGUAUCCGGAUUUAUUGGGUUGAAAGGGUGCGUAGGCGGGAAGGUAAG